rnacentral:rRNA from 1 species
ACCCGCGGCAAGACGGAAAGACCCCGUGAACCUUUACUAUAGCUUGACACUGAACAUUGAGCCUUGAUGUGUAGGAUAGGUGGGAGGCUUUGAAGUGUGGACGCCAGUCUGCAUGGAGCCGACCUUGAAAUACCACCCUUUAAUGUUUGAUGUUCUAACGUGGACCCGUGAUCCGGGUUGCGGACAGUGUCUGGUGGGUAGUUUGACUGGGGCGGUCUCCUCCUAAAGAGUAACGGAGGAGCACGAAGGUUGGCUAAUCCUGGUCGGACAUCAGGAGGUUAGUGCAAUGGCAUAAGCCAGCUUGACUGCGAGCGUGACGGCGCGAGCAGGUGCGAAAGCAGGUCAUAGUGAUCCGGUGGUUCUGAAUGGAAGGGCCAUCGCUCAACGGAUAAAAGGUACUCCGGGGAUAACAGGCUGAUACCGCCCAAGAGUUCAUAUCGACGGCGGUGUUUGGCACCUCGAUGUCGGCUCAUCACAUCCUGGGGCUGAAGUAGGUCCCAAGGGUAUGGCUGUUCGCCAUUUAAAGUGGUACGCGAGCUGGGUUUAGAACGUCGUGAGACAGUUCGGUCCCUAUCUGCCGUGGGCGCUGGAGAACUGAGGGGGGCUGCUCCUAGUACGAGAGGACCGGAGUGGACGCAUCACUGGUGUUCGGGUUGUCAUGCCAAUGGCACUGCCCGGUAGCUAAAUGCGGAAGAGAUAAGUGCUGAAAGCAUCUAAGCACGAAACUUGCC